CGAUAAAACAGCAAACCGCCCAAUUUGAGCCGACCUGGAUCAUCUGUGAUUUCACUUGAAGGAGAAGAUGAGGGCGAUAUUCUGUAUAUAAAUCAUGCUUGACCUCUGAGGUCGUGUUUGACCUUUGAGGUCGUGGUCGUACCUGAGUCUCCGUCUCUGAGGCAUCUGCUGGUCCAGGUCUCUCUGCUGGCGCUCCUCUCUCGUCAUGCCUUUGUAGUUCGACGUCAAGCCGAAGAUCGGCCGCGA